rnacentral:rRNA from 1 species
CGUGUAGGCGGCCAGAUAAGUCCGCUGUGAAAACUCGAGGCUCAACUUCGAGCUGUCGGUGGAAACUAUCUGGCUAGAGUCCGGAAGAGGAGAGUGGAAUUCCUGGUGUAGCGGUGAAAUGCGCAGAUAUCAGGAAGAACACCCGUGGCGAAGGCGGCUCUCUGGGACGGUACUGACGCUGAGACGCGAAAGCGUGGGGAGCGAACA